rnacentral:ncRNA from 1 species
GUGUAAGUAUGAACAAAUUCAGACGGUGAAACUGCGAAUGGCUCAUUAAACCAGUUAUAAUUUGUUUGAUGAUAUCUAGUAUUCGGAUAACCGUAGUAAUUCUAGAGCUAAUAUGUGCAACAAACCCCGACUUUUGGAAGGGAUGCAUUUAUUAGCUAUAAGGUCGACGCGGGCUCUGCCCGUUGCUGCGAUGAUUCAUGAUAACUCGAUGGCGGCGACACAUCAUUCAAAUUUUUGCCCUAUCAACUUUUAUAGAAUUUACUCAUUUUUAGUAACAAAUUCAUUUUCUAAAAAUGUUAAUUACAUAUUUCUGAU